rnacentral:rRNA from 1 species
AUGAAUGGAUACUCUGAGAUAGAACGAGAAAAAACAAAUUUGAUUAAUGCUACUUCUAUUAGUUUGGAACAAUUGGAAAAGUCUAAAAACAAAACCCUUUAUUUUGAAAAACAAAGGGCAAUGAAUCAGGUCCGACAGCAAGUUUUCCAACAGGCCGUACAAGGAGCUCUAGGAACUCUGAGUAGUUGUUUGAAUACCGAGUUACAUUUCCGUACGAUUCGUGCUAAUAUUGGCAUUCUCAGGUCCCUGGAAUGGAAGAGAUAA